CCUACGGGCGGCAGCAGUGAGGAAUAUUGGUCAAUGGACGAGAGUCUGAACCAGCCAUGCCGCGUGCAGGAUGACGGCUCUAUGGGUUGUAAACUGCUUUUAUACAGGGAUAAAACGCGGUACGUGUGCCUUUUUGCAUGUACCUUACGAAUAAGGAUCGGCUAACUCCGUGCCAGCAGCCGCGGUAAUACGGAGGAUCCGAGCGUUAUCCGGAUUUAUUGGGUUUAAAGGGAGCGUAGGUGGGUCGUUAAGUCAGUUGUGAAAGUUUGCGGCUCAACCGUGACAUUGCCUUUGAUACUGGCGGGCUAGAGUAUAGUUGAGGUAGGCGGAAUGCGUGGUGUAGCGGUGAAAUGCAUAGAGAUCACACAGAACCCCGAUUGCGAAGGCAGCUUACCAAACUGCGACUGACAUUGAGGCACGAAAGUGUGGGUAUCAAACAGGAUUAGAUACCCGAGUAGUC
rnacentral:rRNA from 1 species